rnacentral:tRNA from 1 species
GGGUCUGUGGCUCAGUUGGUAGAGCGCUCGGUUUACAUCCGAAAGGUCGCAGGUUCGAGUCCUGCCAGACCCACCA